UAUUAAAAAUUUUAUCUAUUUUUACUGUUAAAAAUUAAUAUUACGGACAAAAUAACUAGAUAAUUACAUGUGCUAUACCACGUGUACCUUAUGCUGACAUACAUGACCAGUUUUUAAUAGUAAAAAUAGAUGAAAUUAUUAAUA
rfam:Gossypium arboreum cultivar AKA8401 contig_7616_1, whole genome shotgun sequence.